CAACUAAAUUUAAGCAUGUAAUCAAGAGGAUGCUUUACAUUGUUUGAGAAGCUAAUUAAACUAUUGGAUGAUAUUUAUUUCAUUAAAAAGUGAUUACAUCUAUAUCUAUAUCUGAAUGAUCAGAGGUGUAAAUAUGAUAAAUUAAAUCAUACCUGCUAUACACUUUCCAAAAUGAUUAUUCUUUUGUAGAUCCUCCAUCAAUGAGUCUAGUUUGAUCUUGAACACUCUUGCGACGAUAUCUGGUCUUUCAUCGGGUCUUUGUCCGCCAUUAUUUCUGAGAAAUUCAAGAAUUUCAUUCCACUUUGGAUUUGAUGUUACCGUGAUGAAAAGAUCAGGGUUUCCCAUAACACGGCAAAGAGCUAUUGCAUCUUGGUAAUUUUGGGUCAUAUAACGUGGUCCGCCAGUGAAAGAGGAAGGUCAUAAGAUCCACAAUGUAAGUUUGUAAUAGUUUCCCUGAUAAGAGUAAUGUUUGUGCCUCAGUCUGGCGCUGCUGCAAACGAAAUGAAGCAUACUCCAUUUAACAGAUUCCAGAGAAAAACAGGAGGAUGCUUGAGGAGAGGAAAUUUGACAGAUCCUUUUCGACAGCAUAGUGAGAAAGUUGGGUUUUGAGGGCUCUUUGAUUUCUCAGCU